CGCGCGACCACAUGGAAAUUCGUGAGCGUCCUGAGCGCGGAAAACGCGACCUAUCGAGGAAAAUGCAACGCAGGAGGAAGGGGACGGUGGAAAAUCGCAGGAAUGGCGGAAAAACGAACGUGAUUGACAGCUAUCGAAUAAACGAGUGUCCAUUUAACACGUGAAUCCGGAAUGGCCGAGGUGCUUCCUGCGUUGCGCAUGGCCCGGACGGACGACGGGAGUUCGAAGCCGGAAACCAGGUGAAGAGGAAUCUGCAAGCCGCAAAGAAAGAGGGCUUCACACUGUCUCGGUGCAAAAAUAUAAAUUUUAUGUGGUAUUAAAGAUACCACGUUUGUUAAAAUGUAAUUCAUCAUUAAAAUUGCUUAACGCGAUACUCAAAAGUAAGUUUAAUUUGGAAUUAUUGUAAAUGCAAUAAUUUACUACAUCAUUUAAAUAUUUUAUGAUGGUGUAAUUGCUAUAAUAC